rnacentral:ribozyme from 13 species
AAAGAAAAACAGGCACAAGAAACCAUGGAGGCCGUAUUUUUCUAAAGCAAUAUUUUUUUUUUGCCAUUUUUGCUCUGUUGUGCCCUAUUCCUUAAUUUUAAUUGAAGCGAGAUAAAUA